UUCUUACUCCCUCCGUUCCGAAUUACUUGUCACACGUAUAGAUGUAUCUAGAUGUAUUUUAAUUCUAGAUACAUCCAUUUCAGCGACGAGUAAUUUAAAACGGAGGGAGUAGUUU
rfam:Triticum aestivum genome assembly, contig: Triticum_aestivum_CS42_TGACv1_scaffold_210716_3AS